CCUACGGGGGGCAGCAGUGGGGAAUCUUCCGCAAUGGACGAAAGUCUGACGGAGCAACGCCGCGUGAGUGAUGACGGCCUUCGGGUUGUAAAGCUCUGUUAAUCGGGACGAAUGGUUCUUGUGCGAAUAGUGCGAGGAUUUGACGGUACCGGAAUAGAAAGCCACGGCUAACUACGUGCCAGCAGCCGCGGUAAUACGUAGGUGGCAAGCGUUGUCCGGAAUUAUUGGGCGUAAAGCGCGCGCAGGCGGAUUGGUCAGUCUGUCUUAAAAGUUCGGGGCUUAACCCCGUGAUGGGAUGGAAACUGCCAAUCUAGAGUAUCGGAGAGGAAAGUGGAAUUCCUAGUGUAGCGGUGAAAUGCGUAGAUAUUAGGAAGAACACCAGUGGCGAAGGCGACUUUCUGGACGAAAACUGACGCUGAGGCGCGAAAGCCAGGGGAGCGAACGGGAUUAGAUACCCGAGUAGUC
rnacentral:rRNA from 1 species